UACGUAGGUGGCAAGCGUUGUCCGGAAUUACUGGGUGUAAAGCGCGUGUAGGCGGGAGGCCAAGUCUGCUGUGAAAUCGCUCGGCUCAACUGGGCGAGGUCGGUGGAAACUGGUCCCCUGGAGGACGGUAGAGGCGAGUGGAAUUCCCGGUGUAGUGGUGAAAUGCGUAGAGAUCGGGAGGAACACCAGUGGCGAAGGCG
rnacentral:rRNA from 1 species